UACGUAGGGUGCGAGCGUUGUCCGGAAUUAUUGGGCGUAAAGAGCUCGUAGGCGGCUUGUUACGUUGUUCGUGAAAACUUGGGGCUCAACCCCAAGCUUGCGGUCGAUACGGGCAGGCUAGAGUUCGGUAGGGGAGACUGGAAUUCCUGGUGUAGCGGUGAAAUGCGCAGAUAUCGGGAAGAACACCCGUGGCGAAGGCGGUUCUCUGGGACGGUACUGACGCUGAGACGCGAAAGCGUGGGGAGCGAACAGG
rnacentral:rRNA from 1 species